rnacentral:rRNA from 1 species
AACGCGAAGAACCUUACCUACCCUUGACAUCCAGAGAAUCCUGCAGAGAUGCGGGAGUGCCGAAAGGAAUUCUGAGACAGGUGCUGCAUGGCUGUCGUCAGCUCGUGUUGUGAGAUGUUGGGUUAAGUCCCGUAACGAGCGCAACCCUUAUCCUUAGUUGCCAACAUGUAAUGGUGGGGACUCUAAGGAGACUGCCGGUGAUGAACCGGAGGAAGGCGGGGACGACGUCAAGUCAUCAUGGCCUUUAUGGGUAGGGCUACACACGUGCUACAAUGGUCAGUACAGAGGGCAGCGAAAGCGCGAGCUGGAGCCAAUCCCGAAAAGCUGAUCGUAGUCCGGAUCGGAGUCUGCAACUCGACUCCGUGAAGUCGGAAUCGCUAGUAAUCGCGAAUCAGAAUGUCGCGGUGAAUACGUUCCCGGGCCUUGUACACACCGGUACUA